rnacentral:rRNA from 1 species
UGGGGAAUUUUGGACAAUGGGGGCAACCCUGAUCCAGCCAUGCCGCGUGAGUGAAGAAGGCCUUCGGGUUGUAAAGCUCUUUCGGACGGGACGAAAUGGUUAGCGUGAAUAACGCUGACUGAUGACGGUACUAUUUAUAAGGUCCGGCUAACUGCGUGCCAGCAGCCGCGGUAAUACGUAGGGACCAAGCGUUGUUCGGAUUUACUGGGCGUAAAGGGCGCGUAGGCGGCAUGACAAGUCACUUGUGAAAUCUCUGGGCUUAACCCAGAACGGCCAAGUGAUACUGUCGCGCUAGAGUGCAGAAGGGGCAAUCGGAAUUCUUGGUGUAGCGGUGAAAUGCGUAGAUAUCAAGAGGAACACCUGAGGUGAAGACGGGUUGCUGGGCUGACACUGACGCUGAGGUGCGAAAGCGUGGGGAGCAAACAGGAUUAGAUACCCAAGUAGUCCCUGAGCGGGCUGGCAAGGCGCAU